AUGGAUCUUGUCAUAGCCGCUGUCGCAGGUGAUCUCUCGAACCGUUUCAUCUCUUUCCUGAUGAACAAGUACGCAGAUCACGCGUGCUUGGAGGAGAAGGUGGAGAGGCUGCAACACCUCUUGCUGAGAGUUGGCAUGGUCGUCGAGGAGGCAGACUCGCGGUACAUCACCAACUCUUGUAUGCUCAUACAGCUGAAGACCCUAGCAGCAGCCAUGUACCAAGGCCACCAUGCGCUUGACACCAUCAAGUAUGGAAAACACAAAGAUGUUGCUGAGGAAUUGGUAUGUGACGCAUCCGCCUUACCUGUUUCUACUCCUUACAAACGUUCUCGCACAAUCGGUACUCGUGGAACAAACAAGGUUCUCGAACCAGACUUGCAAAGUGCGCUGCAGAACCUAGAGGCUAGUGUUGCUAACAUGGCGGAGUUUGUCGUGCUUUUGGGGGGAUGCGAGCGCAUCUCUCGUAGACCCUAUGAUGCAUAUCUUUACAUCGAUAACUUCAUGUUUGGUCGCCAUGUCGAGAGGCAGCAGAUCAUCAGGUUCUUGCUGGACCACAACACUCCUGGUUCUCCGGCCGUGCUUCCAAUCAUUGGUGACGCUGGAGUUGGGAAGAAAACUCUUGUGGUCCAUGUAUGCAAUGAUGAGAGGGUGCGUUCUCACUUUUCUAUGAUUUUGCACCUGAAUGGAGAUGAACUAUUCAGAAUGACAGACCAUGAAAAAUUGUCAGGGAGGAUACUGAUAGUUAUUGAGUUUGUUUCAUAUAUAGAUGAAGAUGACUGGACAAUGUUCCAUAAUUUUUUUAUGAACAUGGACAGAGGAAGCAAGGUGAUGAUCGUAGGUCGAUUCGUAGAGCUAGAGAAGUUUGGAACUGUUAAACCUAUAUCCCUGAAAUGUCUGGCAUUAGAAGAGUUCAGGUACCUGUUCAAGACACUCGCAUUCGGAAGUGCGAACCCGACAGAUUAUCCUCGAUUAGUCGCGAUGGUGGAAGAGUUUGUCAUGGUGUUGGGAGGGUCACUCAUAUUAGCAAAUGUGCUUGCAGAUGCACUGAGGAAAAAUCUGGGUGCCCGUUUCUGGAUGUACAGGUUGAACGCGGUCAGAGAUAUGGUGAAGGCGAACAUUUCUUGUUUCGGCGCCCAUCCACAGGUGCUUCUGAAUCGAGGUCACCCAGUGCACCUAAUCGGCGGCAACAUUUUGACUCCUGCUGCUCCAUCGCACGUUCUAGACUGUGCUAUCGGUAUGGCUAAUGCUCCGGAAGAUGGUCUACCUAGGAUUAUGUUUGGGGACUUAAUAUCAGCAGCAGGUCACCUUGUCUUACCCAAAGGAGAUUUUAGGCUAAUUUCAUGGGAAUCAAGGCUACCGCCUUAUACACAAUUUAUUCACUUGGUGCACUCUGUUCCAAGCUGCCCCAAUGAUAAAACUGUAACAUCCUUGUCAGGGAAGAAGCGUCCGAGUUUAUUUGCCUAA
rnacentral:rRNA from 1 species